GAUGAACGCUAGCGGCAGGCCUAAUACAUGCAAGUCGAGGGGCAGCAGGGUAGCAAUAUCGCUGGCGACCGGCGCACGGGUGCGUAACACGUAUAUAAUCUGCCUUUUACAGGGGGAUAGCCUUUCGAAAGAGAGAUUAAUACCCCAUAAUAGUUGACUGGGCAUCCAGUUGAUUUGAAAGUUCCGACGGUAAAAGAUGAGUAUGCGUCUGAUUAGCUAGUAGGUGAGGUAACGGCUCACCUAGGCAACGAUCAGUAGGGGAUCUGAGAGGAUUAACCCCCACACGGAUACUGAGACACGGAUCCGACUCCUACGGGAGGCAGCAGUAAGGAAUAUUGGACAAUGCCCGCAAGGGUGAUCCAGCCAUGCCGCGUGCAGGAAGAAGGCCCUAUGGGUCGUAAACUGCUUUUACACCGGAGAAAACCCCCCUACGUGUAGGGGGCUGAUAGUAUGGUGAGAAUAAGCAUCGGCUAACUUCGUGCCAGCAGCCGCGGUAAGACGAAGGAUGCAAGCGUUAUCCGGAUUCAUUGGGUUUAAAGGGAGCGUAGGUGGACUGAUAAGUCAGUGGUGAAAUCUCUUCGCUUAACGAAGAAAUUGCCAUUGAUACUGUUGGUCUUGAGUACAGUUGCUGUGGGCGGAAUAUGACAUGUAGUGGUGAAAUACAUAGAGAUGUCAUAGAACACCGAUUGCGAAGGCAGCUCACAAAGCUGUAACUGACACUGAGGCUCGAAAGUGCGGGGAUCAAACAGGAUUAGAUACCCUGGUAGUCCGCACCGUAAACGAUGAUUACUCGCUGCUAGAGGGCAACUUUUAGUGGCUUAGCGAAAGCGAUAAGUAAUCCACCUGGGGAGUACGCCGGCAACGGUGAAACUCAAAGGAAUUGACGGGGGCCCGCAUAAGCGGAGGAGCAUGUGGUUUAAUUCGAUGAUACGCGAGGAACCUUACCAGGGCUUGAAAGUAGGGAAUAACUCGAAAGGAGU
rnacentral:rRNA from 1 species